GUGCUUGUUCAAGCCCUCGGAUUAAAAGGGAAUCGGGUGAGAAUCCCGAACAGUCCUGCUGCUGUGUAGCUCCAUUCAACCUUUUGAAUUUCACUUCUGCCACUGAUAUGGGACGGCCAUAUUGGGAAGGCUUCAAAAGGGGAGUCAGUCAGAAGACCUGCCAUCAUUCAU
rnacentral:ncRNA from 1 species